UGUAAAAUUUUAAAGGUCGAACAGACCCAAUAUUUUAGCUUCUACACCAAAAAUAAAUUUUAAUCCAACAUCGAGGUCGCAAUCUUUUUUUUAAAUAUGAACUUUUAAAAAAAAUUACGCUGUUAUCCCUAAGGUAAUUUUAUCUUAUAAUCAAAAAUAAUGGAUCAUUUUUUCAUAAAUAAAUGUUUUUAAUUAAAAAAAGUUAAUUAAAUUUUUCAAUCACCCCAACUAAAUUAAAUAAUAAAAUAAAUAAUUAAAUACUAAAAUAUAACUUUUAUAUAAUAAUAAAAUUCUAUAGGGUCUUCUCGUCUUUUAAAUAUAUUUAAGCUUUUUAACUUAAAAAUAAAAUUCUAAUAAAAUUUAAUAGAGACAGUCAUUUUCUUAUCCAACCUUUCAUUCCAGUUUUUAAUUAAAAAACUAUUGAUUAUGCUACCUUAGCAUGGUCAAAAUACCACGGCCAUUUAAAAAUUUCAGUGGGCAGGCUAGACCUUAAAUUAUAACCAAAAAGCC
rnacentral:rRNA from 1 species